rnacentral:tRNA from 1 species
CGGCCGUUAGCUCAUCUGGAUAGAGCACAUUCCUUCUAAGAAUGGGGUAGGGGGUUCGAGUCCCUCACGGCUGACCA